rnacentral:rRNA from 1 species
AUUAAACGCUGGCGGCAUGCCUUACACAUGCAAGUCGAACGGCAGCACGGGGCGAACCUGGUGGCGAGUGGCGAACGGGUGAGUAAAGCAUCGGAACGUGCCCUGGAGUGGGGGAUAACGUAGCGAAAGUUACGCUAAUACCGCAUAUUCUGUGAGCAGGAAAGCAGGGGAUCGCAAGACCUUGCGCUCUGGGAGCGGCCGAUGUCGGAUUAGCUAGUUGGUGGGGUAAAGGCCUACCAAGGCGACGAUCCGUAGCGGGUCUGAGAGGAUGAUCCGCCACACUGGGACUGAGACACGGCCCAGACUCCUACGGGAGGCAGCAGUGGGGAAUUUUGGACAAUGGGCGGAAGCCUGAUCCAGCCAUGCCGCGUGAGUGAAGAAGGCCUUCGGGUUGUAAAGCUCUUUCGGCCGGGAAGAAAUCGCAUGGGUCAAUACCCUGUGUGGAUGACGGUACCGGAAUAAGAAGCACCGGCUAACUACGUG